rnacentral:lncRNA from 1 species
UGGUUUAAUAUUUGAUACCACAAAUAUUUUAAAGUAUCAAUAUAAAAAACUAUUAAGACAAAAUAUCUUUGCAACUCCAUAAAUUUAUUUGAGACUUUGGAGAACCCUAGGCAUCGAAAAUUAUGACUUUUGGAAGUCGAGAGACUAGCUCAUCUAAACCUUCCAAUUAGUUUAGCAUUGUCUAACAAUAUCUCUACAUGCUUCAUAUAUUCUCAUAGCAAAAAUUAUAUUUUAAGUUAUAAAGACGUAUUUCAUUUUCUUUAAAUCUCAUUUAACACAUAUAUGCAUUAACUUUACUAAUAAACAAACAUAUAAAUACAUAAAAUUAUUCUAGAAACCCAAGCCUU